rnacentral:rRNA from 1 species
GAUGAACGCUAGCGGCAGGCUUAACACAUGCAAGUCGAGGGGCAGCACGGGUAGCAAUACCUGGUGGCGACCGGCGCAAGGGUGCGUAACGCGUGAGCAACAUGCCCUAUACAGGGGGAUAAUCCAGGGAAACUUGGUCUAAUAUCCCAUAGUAUUUAGAGGAGGCAUCUUCUAUAAAUUAAAGCUUCGGUGGUAUAGGAUUGGCUCGCGUGACAUUAGCUAGAUGGUGAGGUAACGGCUCACCAUGGCAAUGAUGUCUAGGGGUUCUGAGAGGAAGGCCCCCCACACUGGGACUGAGACACGGCCCACGACUCCUACGGGAGGCAGCAGUGAGGAAUAUUGGACAAUGGAUGGAAAUCUGAUCCAGCCAUGCCGCGUGCAGGAAGACAGCCCUAUGGGUUGUAAACUGCUUUUAUAUGGGAGCAAUAAGGUCUACGUGUAGACUGAUGAGAGUACCAUAUGAAUAAGCA